rnacentral:rRNA from 1 species
AUUGAACGCUGGCGGCAUGCCUUACACAUGCAAGUCGAACGGUAACGGGCCUUCGGGUGCCGACGAGUGGCGAACGGGUGAGUAAUGUAUCGGAACGUACCUUUCAGUGGGGGAUAACGUAGCGAAAGUUACGCUAAUACCGCAUAUUCUGUGCGCAGGAAAGCAGGGGAUCGCAAGACCUUGCGCUGAUUGAGCGGCCGAUAUCAGAUUAGCUAGUUGGUGAGGUAAAGGCUCACCAAGGCGACGAUCUGUAGCGGGUCUGAGAGGAUGAUCGGCCACACUGAAGAUGAGACACUGUCCAGACUCCUACGGGACGCAGCAGUGGGGAAUUUUGGACAAUGGGGGCAACCCUGAUCCAGCCAUGCCGCGUGAGUGAAGAAGGCCUUCGGGUUGUAAAGCUCUUUCGGCCGGGAAGAAAUCGUAUCAGCUAAUACCUGGUGCGGAUGACGGUACCGGCAUAAGAAGCACCGGCUAACUACGUGCCAGCCGCCGCGGUAACAC